rnacentral:rRNA from 1 species
GACGAACCGUGCGAACGUUGUUCGGAAUCACUGGGCAUAAAGCGCACGUAGGCGGUGUCGUAAGUCGGGUGUGAAAUCCCUCGGCCUAACCGAGGAACUGCGCCCGAUACUGCGAUGCUUGAGGACCAGAGGGGUGCAUGGAAUUUCCGGUGGAGCGGUGAAAUGCGUUGAUAUCGGAAGGAACUCCGGCGGCGAAAGCGAUGCACUGGCUGGUUUCUGACGCUGAGGUGCGAAAGCCAGGGGAGCAAACGGG